rnacentral:rRNA from 1 species
UACGUAGGGUGCAAGCGUUGUUCGGAAUUACUGGGCGUAAAGGGCUCGUAGGCGGCCUACUAAGUCGGACGUGAAAUCCCUCAGCUUAACUGGGGAACUGCGUCCGAUACUGGAUGGCUUGGAUUUGGGAGAGGGAUGCGGAAUUCCAGGUGUAGCGGUGAAAUGCGUAGAUAUCUGGAGGAACACCGGUGGCGAAGGCGGCAUCCUGGACCAAUAUUGACGCUGAGGAGCGAAAGCCAGGGGAGCAAACGGG